rnacentral:rRNA from 1 species
AGACCCGAAACCCGGUGAUCUAGCCAUGGGCAGGUUGAAGGUUGGGUAACACUAACUGGAGGACCGAACCGACUAAUGUUGAAAAAUUAGCGGAUGACCUGUGGCUGGGGGUGAAAGGCCAAUCAAACCGGGAGAUAGCUGGUUCUCCCCGAAAGCUAUUUAGGUAGCGCCUCGUGAAUUCAUCUCCGGGGGUAGAGCACUGUUUCGGCUAGGGGGCCAUCCCGGCUUACCAACCCGAUGCAAACUGCGAAUACCGGAGAAUGUUAUCACGGGAGACACACGGCGGGUGCUAACGUCCGUCGUGAAGAGGGAAACAACCCAGACCGCCAGCUAAGGUCCCAAAGUCAUGGUUAAGUGGGAAACGAUGUGGGAAGGCCCAGACAGCCAGGAUGUUGGCUUAGAAGCAGCCAUCAUUUAAAGAAAGCGUAAUAGCUCACUGGUCGAGUCGGCCUGCGCGGAAGAUGUAACGGGGCUAAACCAUGCACCGAAGCUGCGGCAGCGACGCUUAUGCGUUGUUGG